rnacentral:rRNA from 1 species
GGGUUGUGAGGUUAAGCGACUAAGCGUACACGGUGGAUGCCCUGGCAGUCAGAGGCGAUGAAGGACGUGCUAAUCUGCGAAAAGCGUCGGUAAGGUGAUAUGAACCGUUACAGCCGGCGAUGUCCGAAUGGGGAAACCCAGUGCAAUUCGUUGCACUAUCGUUAACUGAAUACAUAGGUUAACGAGGCGAACCGGGGGAACUGAAACAUCUAAGUACCCCGAGGAAAAGAAAUCAACCGAGAUUCCCCCAGUAGCGGCGAGCGAACGGGGAGCAGCCCAGAGUCUGAAUCAGCUUGUGUGUUAGUGGAACGGUCUGGAAAGUCCGACGGUACAGGGUGAUAGUCCCGUACACCAAAAUGCACAGGUUGUGAACUCGAAGAGUAGGGCGGGACACGUGGUAUCCUGUCUGAAUAUGGGGGGACCAUCCUCCAAGGCUAAAUACUCCUGACUGACCGAUAGUGAACCAGUACCGUGAGGGAAAGGCGAAAAGAACCCCGGCGAGGGGAGUGAAAAAGAACCUGAAACCGUGUACGUACAAGCAGUGGGAGCACCUUCGGGUGUGACUGCGUACCUUUUGUAUAAUGGGUCAGCGACUUAUAUUCUGUAGCAAGGUUAACCGUAUAGGGGAGCCGCAGGGAAACCGAGUCUUAACUGGGCGUUAAGUUGCAGGGUAUAGACCCGAAACCCGGUGAUCUAGCCAUGGGCAGGUUGAAGGUUGGGUAACACUAACUGGAGGACCGAACCGACUAAUGUUGAAAAAUUAGCGGAUGACUUGUGGCUGGGGGUGAAAGGCCAAUCAAACCGGGAGAUAGCUGGUUCUCCCCGAAAGCUAUUUAGGUAGCGCCUCGUGAACUCAUCUUCGGGGUAGAGCACUGUUUCGGCUAGGGGGUCAUCCCGACUUACCAACCCGAUGCAAACUACGAAUACCGAAGAAUGUUAUCACGGGAGACACACGGCGGUGCUAACGUCCGUCGUGAAGAGGGAAACAACCCAGACCGCCAGCUAAGGUCCCAAAGUCAUGGUUAAGUGGGAAACGAUGUGGGAAGGCACAGACAGCCAGGAUGUUGGCUUAGAAGCAGCCAUCAUUUAAAGAAAGCGUAAUAGCUCACUGGUCGAGUCGGCC